UACGUAGGGUGCGAGCGUUGCCCGGAUUUAUUGGGCGUAAAGGGCGCGUAGGCGGCCACGCACGUCCGUUGUGAAAUCGCCCGGCUCAACUGGGCGGGGUCAGCGGAUACGGUGUGGCUCGAGCAAGCUAGGGGGCAAUGGAAUUCCCGGUGUAGUGGUGGAAUGCGUAGAUAUCGGGAGGAACACCAGUGGCGAAGGCGGUUGCCUGGAGCUUUGCUGACGCUGAGGCGCGAAAGCUAGGGGAGCAAACGGG
rnacentral:rRNA from 1 species